UAAAAAAAAAAAAAAAAAAGGACCAUAAAAAUGGCAGUUUCAAUUAAAACUUUUCACUCCAGUCACGCUUUCUUCCCUCCUCUCCAUUUCCCAAAACCUCCAAUCUACCUCAAGAAGCCCCUAAUUUUCAAUUUCAAUACUAACCCUUCUCCUAAAUUUUCAAAAAUGUUACCUUCCCAUAGACCUCAUGCGAUCUCAAUGCAGGGAGCUCUAUCGGAGGCAAUGAACUUGAUACAAGCAACGCCACCCACUUGGAAAUCCGCUCUCCUCAACAACUUGUUGAUAUUCAUUAUGGGGUCUCCUAUUCUGGUCACUGGGCUUUCCCUUUCGGGCAUUUGCGCUGCGUUUCUUUUGGGUACUCUCACUUGGCGUGCUUUUGGGUCCUCUGGGUUCCUCCUCGUUGCCUCUUAUUUCGUUAUAGGCACUGCAGCUACAAAAGUUAAAAUGGCGCAAAAGGAAGCACAAGGAGUGGCUGAGAAGAGGAGAGGAAGAAGGGGACCAGGCAGUGUGAUUGGUUCUAGUGCUGCUGGUUGUGUGUGCGCUUUUCUUUCAAUAAAUGGAGUUGGAGGAAUGGCAUUUUCUCGUCUUUGGAAACUUGGAUUUGUUGCCAGUUUCUGUACUAAGUUGAGUGAUACCGUUUCGAGUGAGAUAGGGAAGGCAUAUGGCAAAACUACGUAUCUUGUUACGACAUUUAAGGUAGUUCCAAGGGGAACGGAAGGGGCUGUAAGUGUUGAGGGAACAGUAGCUGGAUUGUUGGCAUCAAUUCUUCUUGCUGUUAUUGCAACUUUACUGCGCGAGACACUUGCUUCUGAAGCAGUUAUAUGUGUGAUAGCUUCUCAGAUUGCUAAUUUUGGUGAGAGCAUAAUUGGUGCUUCACUCCAAGAGAAGGAAGGAUUUCGAUGGAGUGGUGGACUGCCUAAUAGGGGCUUCAAAAUAUGCAUUGUUUGGAAAUGAAUCUCAAGUACUACAUUCAUUGAGAAGAAACUUGAUAUUUUGCGGAGUUGUGGAUAAAUUGUCCAUAGUGGACCAUGCUUAAUAAUGAUGCUGUCAAUGUCCUUAACAUAUCAAUGGGUAGCAUUUUAGCAGUCUUGAUGCAGCAAGUUAUACUUCACAAGUAAAUCCGUAAAGUUUUCUUGGUGCUCAGGUGUAUCUAUGUUUACUCAUUUGUAUG